UACGUAGGGUGCGAGCGUUAAUCGGAAUUACUGGGCGUAAAGCGUGCGCAGGCGGUUUUGUAAGCCAGAUGUGAAAUCCCCGGGCUUAACCUGGGAAUGGCAUUUGGGACUGCAAGGCUGGAGUGCGGCAGAGGAGACUGGAAUUCCUGGUGUAGCAGUGAAAUGCGUCGAUAUCAGGAGGAACACCGAUGGCGAAGGCAGGUCUCUGGGCUGACACUGACGCUCAUGCACGAAAGCGUGGGGAGCAAACAGG
rnacentral:rRNA from 1 species